rnacentral:lncRNA from 10 species
CUCACACACAUCCAUGAGGGAAGAAUCAUUCCCAUUUAACAGACAAUGUAACUGGGCCUGAAUAUAGCUCAGCGACUUGCCCCAGGCCCACCAGGAAGUGGAUAAAGCCAUGCUCAACCCAGCACUUCUUCUCUCUACCUUCCACCGAUCCUGCCUGCUCAUCUUCCCUCCUUGGUGAAGGUUAAACAACAUUGUAACAGGACUGAUAACACCAUGAAUGAGAAGUCAUUUGAUCAAUGGAGAGCCAGUUAUUAAACAUUUACCAACAUGUGCAAGAACGGGUUUCAAGGCCGAGGUGGGCAGAUCACAAGGUCAGGACUUUGAGACCAGCCUGGCCAAUAUGGUGAAACCCCAUUUCUACUAAAAAUACAAAAAAAUUAGCCAGGCGUGGUGAUGCAUGCCUGUAAUCCCAGCUACUCGGUAGGCUGAGGCAGGAGAAUUGCUUGAACCCGGGAGGCGGAGGUUUGCAGUGAGCCAAGAUCGCGCCACUGCACUCCAGCCUGGCAACAGAGCAAGACUCCGUCUCAAACAAAACACAGCACAACAAAACAAAAAAGAACGAGUUUCAUAGUGAGAAACAGCGGAGAAACCAGCUUACCUGGUGGGCCUUGAGUGGCCCCUACAAACUCCAACCUGUUCAAGACUCAUUUGCCACGUUGUACCUUCCAGCCAAGGCAAUCCCCCCAGCCUGAGCUACUUCCCAGACCAGACCACAGAAGCAAGGCCAUGCUCACCGAGGACCCCACUUGUGGACUAGACUUCUGUCCUGCUGUGGCCUCAAAAGCAAUAGCCAGGGCCCCAUGAUGAAGCUGCCAUCAGAAGCACAGGUGUGCCUGGCAAGGACACAGGAGGACCACGGCUCCAUGCCGAUGAGAAUGGCAGCUAAGUCUGAAGCUUUCUAUGAUUUAGAUUCCUGGUUGCGAGAGGGAGCCUAUAGGAAUGGCGAGAAGAGUGAGAACUUUGCAGAGGCAGCAAGCUAGGAUUUUCUCUUUGGGUCACCGCGUGUUCUUUGGGGUCAUAUAAAGUACUCUGCUCAAGAACAAAGGCCAGUGUGGCUAUGAUGAAAAUGCAUUGACAGAGGGGCUUCAAUGUCUAUGGAACAGAAACAAGAGCCCUGGACCAAGAGGAGGAAAUGUGGAUUCACCAACAUGUUGAAAAUCAUUCUAACAUCUCCAGGCCUCAGCGUGGUCAUUCACAAAUGGAAUUCAACAAUUUCUAAGGUCCCUGUAACUAGCUUUGACAAAGAGAACACAGUGGAAGUGAUCCUGCCCACCCCUUUUCCAAGGUAGACCUUAAAAGACCUGUAGCUUCCACUAUUGUGCCUCCUAGAAGCCUGUACCAUGUAAGAAUUCUAACUACCAUGGGAACAUCAUGCUGUGAGGAAGCCCAAGCUAGCCAUUUGGGAGAGAGGAAGGCCACGUAGAGAAGCACCAAGAAACUAGACAUGUUUGUGAAGCCUACUUGAACUUUCCAGCCCAACUCCAGCUGAAUGCAUCCAAGUGAAUGGCCCCAGCUGAUCCCCUGUGGAGCAGAACCACCCUGCUGACUCCUGACUGAAUCCCUGAUCCACAGAAUUUGGCUAUGGGCUCAGAUCCUCUCUUACUUCAAGGGAUCUGGGCUGGAUGCUUGGGCGCGAGAGAGAAGAAUGGCUCUCAACUGGGCGGGGAAGAGUAGCCCGCAAGGAGGCAGCGGCUCCAGGAUGGGAAGUGAGGAUGCCAAAAAAGCAUCCCUAGGAAGGUUCCUGCCUUUCCACGAGGCUAUGGGGC